rnacentral:rRNA from 1 species
AUUGAACGCUGGCGGAAUGCUUUACACAUGCAAGUCGAACGGCAGCACGGACUUCGGUCUGGUGGCGAGUGGCGAACGGGUGAGUAACAUAUCGGAACGUAUCCAAUAAUGGGGGAUAACGAGUCGAAAGAUUCGCUAAUACCGCAUACGCCCUACGGGGGAAAGCUGGGGACCUUCGGGCCUGGCGUUAAUGGAGCGGCCGAUAUCUGAUUAGCUAGUUGGUGAGGUAAAGGCUCACCAAGGCGACGAUCAGUAGCUGGUAUGAGAGGACGACCAGCCACACUGGAACUGAGACACGGUCCAGACUCCUACGGGAGGCAGCAGUGGGGAAUUUUGGACAAUGGGCGCAAGCCUGAUCCAGCCAUUCCGCGUGAGUGAAGAAGGCCUUCGGGUUGUAAAGCUCUUUCGCAAGGGAAGGAAACUUAGCCACUAACAUUGGUUGAGGUUGACGGUACCUUGAUAAGAAGCACCGGCUAACUGCGUGCCAGCCGCCGCCGUAA